rnacentral:rRNA from 1 species
AGAGUUUGAUCCUGGCUCAGGACGAACGCUGGCGGCGUGCUUAACACAUGCAAGUCGAGCGGAAAGGCCCUUCGGGGUACUCGAGCGGCGAACGGGUGAGUAACACGUGAGUAAUCUGCCCCUAGCUCUGGGAUAGCUCCGGGAAACCGGGAUUAAUACCAGAUACGACCACAUUAGACAUCUGAUGUGGUGGAAAGGAUUCCGGCUAGGGAUGAGCUCGCGGCCUAUCAGCUUGUUGGUGGGGUAACAGCCUACCAAGGCGACGACGGGUAGCCGGCCUGAGAGGGCGACCGGCCACACUGGGACUGAGACACGGCCCAGACUCCUACGGGAGGCAGCAGUGGGGAAUAUUGCGCAAUGGGCGAAAGCCUGACGCAGCGACGCCGCGUGGGGGAUGAAAGCCUUCGGGUUAUAAACCCCUUUCAGCAGGGACGAAGCGAAAGUGACGGUACCUGCAGAAGAAGCGCCGGCUAACUACGUGCCAGCAGCCGCGGUAACACGUAGGGCGCAAGCGUUGUCCGGAAUUAUUGGGCGUAAAGAGCUCGUAGGCGGUCUGUUGCGUCCGCUGUGAAAUCUCGGGGCUUAACCCCGAGCCUGCAGUGGAUACGGGCAGACUAGAGGUAGGUAGGGGAGAAUGGAAUUCCCGGUGUAGCGGUGAAAUGCGCAGAUAUCGGGAGGAACACCGGUGGCGAAGGCGGUUCUCUGGGCCUUACCUGACGCUGAGGAGCGAAAGCGUGGGGAGCGAACAGGAUUAGAUACCCUGGUAGUCCACGCCGUAAACGUUGGGCGCUAGGUGUGGGAUCCUUCCACGGAUUCCGUGCC